rnacentral:lncRNA from 1 species
CCGCAGUCUCUGGCAGUUCCCCAGGCCCUGACUUUCACCCCCUUGUGUUUUCCAGGCCGUCUUCGUCGCCACCUUCGACGUGUCCUCUGAGGCCGACCUGGAGUACAGGCUGCAGAUCACUGCCAAGGCCAGCAGUGACAAUGGCGGCCCCACCACCGAGCGCAUGAUUCACCGGGCGGAGCUGCCAGUCAAGUACGGCAUCUUCAUCAUCCUCACCAGGUAGGUCAGUGUGGAGACAGAGGGGAGAGCGCCCCCUGCUGGGCCCCCUGUUCC